rnacentral:rRNA from 1 species
AUUGAACGCUGGCGGCAUGCCUUACACAUGCAAGUCGAACGGUAACGGGCCUUCGGGUGCCGACGAGUGGCGAACGGGUGAGUAAUACAUCGGAACGUGCCCGAUCGUGGGGGAUAGCGAGGCGAAAGCUUUGCUAAUACCGCAUACGAUCUACGGCUGAAAGCAGGGGACCGCAAGGCCUCGUGCGGACUGAGCGGCCGAUGGCAGAUUAGGUAGUUGGUGGGAUAAAAGCUUACCAAGCCGACGAUCUGUAGCUGGUCUGAGAGGAUGAUCAGCCACACUGGGACUGAGACACGGCCCAGACUCCUACGGGAGGCAGCAGUGGGGAAUUUUGGACAAUGGGCGCAAGCCUGAUCCAGCCAUGCCGCGUGCAGGAUGAAGGCCUUCGGGUUGUAAACUGCUUUUGUACGGAACGAAAAGCCUUCUUUUAAUACAGGAGGGUGAUGACGGUACCGUAAGAAUAAGCACCGGCUAACUACGUG